UUGCAAUCAUUUAAUCUGAUUGAUUUUCUUUCCUCACAGAGGCCUAGUGUGCCAGGGCUGCAAAUAGCAGCCUCGCUGAUAGUUCAUGUAGCCUGUUGCCUUGAUGGGUUGCCUAAGAUAACUGGAGUCAAUU